UACGUAGGGUCCGAGCGUUGUCCGGAAUUACUGGGCGUAAAGAGCUCGUAGGUGGUUUGUCGCGUUGUUCGUGAAAACUAACAGCUCAACUGUGGGCGUGCGGGCGAUACGGGCAGACUUGAGUACUGCAGGGGAGACUGGAAUUCCUGGUGUAGCGGUGGAAUGCGCAGAUAUCAGGAGGAACACCGGUGGCGAAGGCGGGUCUCUGGGCAGUAACUGACGCUGAGGAGCGAAAGCGUGGGGAGCGAACAGG
rnacentral:rRNA from 1 species